GGAAGCGAUCCCCUGCGUGACUGGGUUGCUCGGGUUAGAGCGUCAGGAAGAGCCUAAAGAUUAGACUGUAAGAAAAGAAAAUAGAAGCAGCCAUGUUUCGAAGACCUGUAUUACAGGUACUUCGUCAGUUUGUAAGACAUGAGUCCGAAACAGCUAGCAGUUUGGUUCUUGAAAGAUCCCUGAAUCGUGUGCAUUUACUUGGGCGAGUGGGUCAGGACCCUGUCUUGAGACAGGUGGAAGGAAAAAAUCCAGUCACAAUAUUUUCCCUAGCAACUAACGAGAUGUGGCGAUCAGGGGACAGUGAAGUUUACCAAUUGGGUGAUAUCAGUCAAAAGACAACAUGGCACAGAAUAUCAGUAUUCCGGCCAGGCCUCAGAGACGUGGCAUAUCAGUAUGUGAAAAAGGGGUCUCGAAUUUAUUUGGAAGGGAAAAUAGACUAUGGUGAAUACAUGGAUAAAAAUAAUGUGAGGCGACAAGCAACAACAAUCAUAGCUGGUAAGAAGCUUGUGAAAAUAGCUGUUUUUUUCUUUUUCUCCUUUUUUAAAAACUUGGCUACAUUGUAACUAACUAGGGUUAAGAGUACCAGUACUUACGAGGUAAGACAACUCACUAGAAGAUGUCCAUGACUCUGAUUUCUCUACUUGCUAAGAGUUUCUACAUUUAUCCCUUCCUUUAAAAAAUUAUUUUUAUACUCACAGUUUUAGUCACAAGUAACUUUUGAAUAAAGCCCAAAACUGAAUUGUCCAUCGCAGUACUUAUUGUUGAGAACUACAAAAACUCUGAAUGUAUUGUCUUUUGGAAGGAUCUAGCCCUAACCAGGAAGAAGCGUAUGCCAAGAUAAGAAUUACACUAAUGGGAGUGUGCAGAUUUAUUCAGAUCCUCUUUGGUACUUAGUAUGUGAAAUUUCUGUUUGAAAUUAAGAUUUUUUUAAUUUUAUUUUUUUUGAGCCAGAAUCUCACUCUGUCACCCAGGCUGGAGUGCAAUGGCACGAUCUCGGCUCAUUGCAAUGUCUGUCUCCUGGAUUCAAGUGAUUCUCCUGCCUCAGCCUCCUGAGUAGCUAGGAUUAUAGGUGCGUGCCACACCACCUGGCUAAUUUUUGUAAUUUUCGUAGAGGCGGGGUUUCACCAUGUUGGUCAGGCUGGUCUUGAGCUCCUGACCUCAGGUGAUCCAUCCGCUUCGGCCUCCCAAAGUUGUGAGAUUACAGGCAUGAGCCACUGCGCCCAGCCAAGAAGUUUUUAAUGUUCUCUUUUUUGGUUUUUGUUUUGAGACAGGGUCUCCCUCUGUCAACCAGGCUGGAGUGCAAUGGCGUGAUCACAGCUUAACUGCAGCCUCUACCUCCCCAGGCUCAGGUGAUCUUCCCACCUCAGCCUUCUCCUGAGUAGCUGGGACUACAGGUGUACACCAUCAUGCCUGGCUAAUUUGUCAAUUUUUUU
rnacentral:sRNA from 1 species